rnacentral:rRNA from 1 species
UGGGGAAUAUUGGACAUGGGCGAAAGCCUGAUCCAGCCAUGCCGCGUGUGUGAAGAAGGUCUUCGGAUUGUAAAGCACUUUAAGUUGGGAGGAAGGGCAUUAAGCUAAUACCUUGCUGUUUUGACGUUACCGACAGAAUAAGCACCGGCUAACUUCGUGCCAGCAGCCGCGGUAAUAGCUCC